GCGUCGGUGGUGUAGCGGUUCAGCACGCCCUCCCUGAUAGAGUAAAAUGUGGGUUUGAAUUCCACUCGACGCA